AUUGAACGCUGGCGGCAGGCUUAACACAUGCAAGUCGAGCGGGGGAAGGUAGCUUGCUACCUAACCUAGCGGCGGACGGGUGAGUAAUGCUUAGGAAUCUGCCUAUUAGUGGGGGACAACAUUUCGAAAGGGAUGCUAAUACCGCAUACGCCCUAAGGGGGAAAGCAGGGGAUCUUCGGACCUUGCGCUAAUAGAUGAGCCUAAGUCGGAUUAGCUAGUUGGUGGGGUAAAGGCCUACCAAGGCGACGAUCUGUAGCGGGUCUGAGAGGAUGAACCGCAAAACUGGGACUGAGACACGGCCCAGACGCCUACGGGAUGCAGCAGUGGGGAAUAUUGGACAAUGGGGGGAACCCUGAUCCAGCCAUGCCGCGUGUGUGAAGAAGGCCUUUUGGUUGUAAAGCACUUUAAGCGAGGAGGAGGCUACCGAGAUUAAUACUCUUGGAUAGUGGACGUUACUCGCAGAAUAAGCACCGGCUAACUCUGUGCCAGCCGCCGCCGUAACAC
rnacentral:rRNA from 1 species